CAAGCUGAGCUGCCGUUUCUCAUCAUAGGUCAUGGGCAGGCCUUCCUCCUCCUCAUCCGAAUCAUAGGUUGCAGAUGCCUGUUUUCCUCCUUUCUUGGGCUGCCUGCUAGCUGUGGUCGUGCUGUUUGCCUUUUUAGCUGGGGCUUUCUUCUGCUGGGUUUGCUUCGGUGGUUGAGCCACCUUAGGCUUCUUCUCCUCCUCAGCUUUUACUUUGUGCUUUUCCUUUUCCUUCUCUUUGUCUUUCUUUUUCUUCUCUUUUUCCUUCUUCUCUUUUUUUUUCUUUGGUUUGUUCACUGGUGCUUGUGAUAACGCAGCUAGCUGCUCAUGGACUGCCUUUAGCUGCUCCUGGAGCUCUGC
rnacentral:lncRNA from 1 species